UUUUUUUUUUUUUUUUCUUUUUUGGCUGAGUUCAAGAACAAGCACUGAUUCUGCCCCUGAUUUUUGGAUUCCCAGGAUCCAGCAUAAUGCUACAACUGGUGUGAAUUUCAAUAAGUGUAUGCCAUUGGACUCAACUAUCUUCACUUGCUGUAUGUUCUUUUUCUUAAAAAUAUAGUCUAUACUUCAUACUUUUCAUGAAUUCAGGUUGGUCUUGUUAUCUAAACAAUUAGGAUUGUUUUCAUUCAGCUAGAGUUUGGCUAUUAAAAUUCACACUAAAAUUGUACUAGUGUGAUCUUAGAUGCAACUUUUUUAUUUUUACAAUAAAAAGUUUGUAAGGUAGUGCCAUUCCUAUGCUUUCAAAGCCACGGUUCCAUUAGCCCCAAUUUUUUUCUUUUUGCCAAAUAAAAUCAAAUAUCUGCAGAAAAAAGUAGUUCAUCUAGUACUUAGAUAGUAGUUUAUCUACUGGAAAAGAUAAAAUAAUUUCCUAGAAAAUAUAGCCUGAGUUGGCGGCAAAAUAUCAGAUAGUUGAGAUUAAGUUGGAGGUUUUAUUUUUUUAGCUCAUAUUUAAUUAUUUAAUUCAUGAAAUAUACCUUAACUGUUUUUAAAGUUACCCAUUCAAUCUAUAGUUCUUUUUUUUUUUUUUUUUGUCUUUUGUUGUUGUUGUUGUUGCUAUUUCUUGGGCCGCUCCCGCGGCAUAUGGAGGUUCCCAGGCUAGGGGUUGAAUCGCAGCUGUAGCCACCAGCCUACGCCAGAGCCACAGCAACUCGGGAUCCGAGCCGCGUCUGCAACCUACACCACAGCUCACGGCAACGACGGAUCGUUAACCCACUGAGCAAGGACAGGGACCAAACCCGCAACCUCAUGGUUCCUAGUCGGAUUCGUUAACCGCUGCGCCACAACGGGAACUCCUAUAGUUCAUUCUUUACUCUGAUCCUUUGGAAAUCAAAUUUGUCAUUUUUUCCCCUAAAAUGUAAUAUAAAAUUUGAGUGAUCAGUGACACUUCCCAUGUUGUAUUCGUAAAAUAAGAAACUCAUUAAAGAUGUGAACUUCUCAAAUAAGUGGAAAGCAGUCUGCCUCAGCGCAUCCUUCACCAUGGUCAUUUCCAAGGGAUUCACCACUUCUAGGAGGCUCUAUCCUCAGCAAACAAAGGCUUGUCUGUUGCUCUGUUCUCUCUCCAUAUUAUGCUAAAAUCCAACAAAGGAGUGGAUGCCAUUUGUCAACAUGUCACCAUGCAACUGUUCUGAUGAGAAGCGUCUCAGCUCUGGGAGACCUGAGGUUCAUCUACGUGUACUCACACAACACACAUUGAAAGUUGCAGGGGGCUGAGGUGGGGGGGGAAUCACUGACACAUAAUGGUAGCUCAAAAAUGAUGAACUUGUAAAAUCUCACACAAGUAACAUCCUCAGGUUAUAUCCUCUUGCAUUCUAGCCUGGAGGAAAUACUUAAAAUAAAAAAUAAGCAUUCAUCUCACUCAUCCAACAAUACCUUUUGAGAGUGAGAGUACAAACCAUCUACCCACACACAGAGCUUGGAAACAGAGAAUUGGAACUAUCCACCCUUCCCCCUCCCCCAAACACACACCCACACACACCCCUUACUUUGGACAAUACAUUGACAAAACUUACUACUCCAUUGGACCCUUGCCCAGGUAAAUGAUAUGAAUGUUCAUUACAGGCUCUUCCCUGAAAGAAGCUUUACCUCUUCAACAGGAAGCAUCAAUAGUUAACACCCUAAGGAUCUUCAAAUUCCUCACUUCAAAAAUCCUUUUCUUGCUGCUCCCAAUCCUAAACUGUUGUGUCAUUAUCCUUAUGCAGUCAAGCUCUCUCAUUAAAAGAGUUCCUUAGGGAGUUUCCAUUGCCGUGCAGCUGAAACAAAACCUACCAGUAUCCAUGAGGAUGCCAGUUCCAUUUCUGGCCCCUCUCAGUGGGUUAAGGAUCCAGCCAUGAGCGGUGGUGUAGGUCACAGCUGCGGCUAGAUUCCACGUUGCUGUGGCUGUGGCUCUGAUUCUACCCCUAGCCUAGGAACUUCCAUAUGCCGCAGGUGUGGCCCUAAAAAACAAAACAAAACAAAAACAAACAAAGGGCACCUUAAACCAAACUGCCAAUUCUCCAUAAAAUCUGACCUUGUCCUAUCCUCUUGGAGAUGUUACCUGAGGUCUGUCCAGGUGGUCCUCUGCCUUGCCCCAUUAAACAAUAAGCAUGGCCCUGCCUUAUCAACAGGUUGUGUGUUGAUAUUUGGAGAGCUAGCACUUGGCAAAUGCUUAGUGUGGGUCUAGCAGUAAACAGUUAGAGACUAACAUGUAGCCUUUAACCUACUUACCCCCUAUUUACGGGGGUGGGGAGAUGUUUAAAUAAUUCCCCCUGUGGAUGUUUGGAGGCAAUCAGGCACAUUCAGGGUCGUAUGGCUGUAGACCACGUGAGGACAUUUAAACUUCUGCCUGAGCCAGUUUUUGCCAUAGUAUCAUCUGUCAGAUGUUAAGUGUUACUUGUUUAAAUGAAAAAGUUUCCAUUGCCAAACAAUUUGAGAACUGCUAAGUUAAGGAGGAAACCCAUAUUUCUUUAUCAUAGGACUUCUCAGGGCCUUUAGUAUAUACUGCUGAAUAUCAAAAACAUCCAACAGAGGGUUAUUAAUAUGCAGCCUUUGCAACAAGUGUUUGAGCACUUUGUCUCAAAGCAGCUCACUAGAUUCUCACUGGAUACAUCAGGGAUAAUGGACCAUGUUAUCUAACCCUCCACCCUGUCCUUUAUCCAUAGGCCACUAUGAAAGAACAGGGCCAGAAAAUAAGAUAAAUGACUGUAGGUAGCUGCUUAGUGCCCAGCAACCAGCUCUGUGGUAACUUGGGGGCUGCCUUCAACUGUGGGCAGGGAAGGAUGAAGGAAAUGGGUCAGCCUGAGUCCUACCAGCCUUAAAUGAUGAGGUGAGUGUGUUCCCUGAGCCACGCUUAGGUGGUUUUCCCUCCCCCUGAAAGGGAAUGCUAGCCCUUCAGCAUCCAGCUGGGCAUUCCUCAAGCCUUUCCCAUACGUAUGAGCACCCAACACAAAUGGGCUAAAUAUUCCAAAUUGCUGAUCUCUGCUCAAAGGGAGGCCCUCACGGGCAACAGUUCAGAAGGAGGUAGGAGCUGGCGCACUCUGUUCCACCAACAGCUAAAAUCCUCAUGCUCUUAUCUUUUUCACCAUGUGCUUCUACUAAGAUCGCCACUUAAAGGACAUUCUUUCAGUCAACACUUACAGCUCUGAUUUCCCCAUUUCAGGGUUGAGGAGAGGAAAUAGACAGUUAUCAUGCGUUUUCUUUGUGCCUGACACAACAUAAGGUAUUUUAUAUGCUGUAACUCAUGUAAUUCACACAACUAUUAAAAAAGUCAUACCAGUGACUGCUUACAUUAUUUUUGCCACGUGCCAGGCACCGUUGUGAAUGUUUUACACAUUUUCAGUCCCUCGAAGCUCACAGCAACUCUAUGCGGUUAUCACCUCCACUUUACAGGUGAAGAGACCGAGGGAUUCAGAGGCAAGUGGCUUGUCUAAGUCCCCACAGCCGGUAGUGGCAGGGCCAGAUUUCAACAGCCCCUGUGUUUAACCUUUUGACCAUUAUCCUCCGCUAUUUGUCCUGUUAGAUGAGAAGACCAAACAACUCAAAGGAGUUAAGUAGCUCACUGGAAGACACACAAGAAGUAAGGGAACUGGAGUCAGAAUCCAUGUCCGCCUACUCCCAAGUCCUUAACGUUUCUCAAAGCAUGCUGCCCAGACCAGCAGCAUCAAUAUCAAUUUCAAACUUGUUAGAAAUGCAAAUUCCUGGUCCCUCCCCAGACCUACUGAAUAUGAAACUUUGGUGUUAGGCCCAAGAAUCUGUUUUCAGAAACUCUCCAGGGGAUUCUGGGACUGGCUAAACUUUGAAAAGCCCUGUUCUACACCACGCUGCCUUCUGUAGGGUUAUCAGAGCUUGAGGUCACCUUUGAGGGCUGGAGAAACAGUGUUGUGUAGGGGUUAUAGGUUCUGAGAAGUUAUGACUUCUGACUGCCUUGUUAAGAAACAACUUGGUUACAACCUGCAUAUUUCAUUGGCGUGUCAAAUAGGGCAGUGAUUGCUCUUUUUCCUGGUAACUUUCAUGAAGCAGGAAAAGAAACAGUUCUGCUUCAGUCUUUGGUCAAGAAGAAAACUGGAUUUUCUCUUUUGUCAUUCUUCAUCCUACUGCUGGCUUCUCAGAUACAGAGAUUUUCAAUGCAUUUUGGUUCAGUUGCCACCUUUGCCUGGCAGCUUAGUCUGUGCCUACAUAUAAGCAUUUUUAUCUUUCAGCUCCUUGCUCGUCAUGAGGAAACACUUCUGUGGCCAUAAGAUCAGCUGUUGUGCUGCCCUCCUGGUUGGUAGAUUGUGCAAUGAAAAACAUUCUUACAAUUCUGAAAUCAAACAUUUUUUUCCCUUUUCUGCUCCAAGGAUCAGUUUGGUAGCUGCACUCAUGCUCUUAACACCCACGGCUUCUCAGAAAUAUUGAAGAUCUCAGCUUUUCUUUUUAUCAAACUGUUGUCAAGAGGUUUAGUGUCAGAAAAAGAAACACAUACAGAAAAAUAAAUUGAUAUUUAUAGAGACUAAAAAGAAGUUAAGGAAUCUUUGAUGGUUCAAGGAGGGAGCUUGAAAGGCAUUUGACAGCAGAUGAAGGAUUACACAGUUCUGAAUUUGUGGCCAAUAGCAGUUCCACUAGGGGAAAGAGAGGGAGCAGCAGAGAAGGGAGGCAGAAGCCUCGCUGGCUCCGAGGUGCUCACUUGCAGUCAGAGAUGAAAGGAACACUACUUUUUAAAAACUAUUGUCACUUUUUAGACAAAAAUAACUUGAGAUCAUUCCGUUUCUACAGGCCAUACAUUUAAAGAGAGCAUUAGGAACACGGAGUGUUUUCCGUUUACUUUCAAGACUGAGAGUGGGGACUUCCUGGUGGAAGAACAUGAUAUAUGCUGACCACACUGGCAAAGAGAGCAGAGAGCUUCUCAGAUCUCAUCCAUCUAUCCUUCCCUCUUGAUAGGUUUCCAGGGAUCUGUUGGUUUGUUAGUUUUUGUGCUUGAUUUGGAAUUUUGGGUUUUAUUGACCAGCACAGAAACCAGUUAGUACCAGAAAGGGUUGUACAUCAAGAAUCAGCAAACCUGGCUUAAUUUGUCAAAGAGGAGCAUGUGUGAUACUUGAGCGUGGACAUGAGACUUAGGCAGAAACUUGCCUAACUUGUAAUGUCUCUAAACCCUAGUGGGCUGUCUUGAGGAAAAAAUGAGAAAAUGCAUGUAAUUACGACAUGACUGUUAGCUAUUAUCAUUCAGUUCACCCAAACUGGGAGAUUGAUCGGUGCUUGCCCCUGUGCCGGUGAGGCUCUGAGGGGUCACAGAGGGACUCUCCGUGGGGAACAGAUCUGAUUUGCCCUAUCACCAGCUCCCAAUGAAUUUGAACAAGCUCCUUAAGACCCUAAGUUUCUAAACUUAAGACCCUCAUCUUCUCAUCGGAAGAAAGGCACAUCCUUCCAGGCACUUUGUGAAAAGCAAGUGAGUAAGAUCACCUGAAAUUUUCAUACUGUUCUGUGAAGCCAACAAAGGACAGCAUCAUCAUUUGUUAUAGAAGUAGAAUCCAUACUUGUGAGUUUUUUAUUCUGUUAUUAGUUUAACUUUGCUGUGAUAUCAUAGUAACAACCUCUGAAUUAUGAAUUAGAAGACCUAGUUUUAGAUCUUGGUUCUGCAAUUCUGUCAUUUAUUAGCUGUGCAACUUUGGGCUAGUCACUUAACCUCCCUGGGCCUCAGUUUCCUUAUCUAAGAACUAGCUAACAUUAUCUACCCCACACGUUUUUGUGACAAAAACAUAAGAUGUUGGAGAGAGAAGGCGGAUAAAGGAUGUUGUAAACUGUAAACACCGUGCAAAUGUGAUUGCCAUUAAUAAAGAGAGAUUAGGGGUGGCUGCUCCAGAAUGGGCUCCUUCUGCUUCUUGAAUCCCUGCACCCUCUAGAUCACAUAGAAACUACAUUCUAGAUUCCUCUCACCAACUUAAUGGAGCUGCCCAGAAGGGUCAAGUUUGGUUUGGGCAUAUUAUAGAAAUAGUAAUUAUAAUAAAAGUCACCAUUUACUGGACACUUAAUGUGUGCCUAAAACUAUGCAAAGCACUUGAUAUAUAUUAUUGCAAAUAAUGCUUAUAAUUCAAAAAGUAAGAAUUAUCUUUCUCCGUUUGCAGAUAGGCUCAGAGAGGUAGUUGCCCAGAAGUCACACAGUUAAAAACCUGAGAUUUUGACCAGCACCUGAGCCAAUACAUUUAAUCACUGUUCUCUUCUUCUGCAUAUUCCUUGGAAGAAGCCGGAAGUCAAUUUGGGCUGACGAUUCCAUUCCUGACUCCUAAAUCUUCAUGUUAAACUGGAUGGAAAAUGUCUAGCACACAAAUUACAAUCUGCUUUCCCACCCUCACUCCUCCAAAAUAACUGCAGUUAUAAAAAACUUGAUGUAACUUAAUCUCUGCUCCUCAACCUUGAGAGUUAUAAAAAAUCCCAAUCAUAAAUGACUCGAAACCCAUUUUGGUUAGUUCUAAGGUUUUCGAAAAUAUGUGACAUAUAAUACACACACACACAGUCAUUAAAGCUUUUUUUUUUCCACAAAGG
ensembl:lncRNA